CAGUCUAAAAUGUCCAAAACUAUAGGAAUUUAUCGAAAUUAAACCUCCUGAAGCUGUUGCCGUCGACAAAAAUAAAAUUUUGCCAAAUAAAUACGAAUUUUAUUUUCCCGCUAAAAUAUCGCGGGAAAUCGUUACUAUGAAUAGAUAUGAUUGCCGGGCUAGCCCGCCUCAUGUGAAAGCAAAGCGGGCCAGCUCGGCAAAGCGGGCCAGCUCGGUUAACCGGGCUCAUAUGAACAGGCCCUUAG
rnacentral:lncRNA from 1 species